UGCGCGGACCGGGAAUCGAACCCGGGGCCCAUCGAUGGCAACGAUGGAUUUUACCACUAAACCAUCCGCGC